GCGCCCUUAGCUCAGCUGGAUAGAGCACCUCCCUUCUAAGGAGGUGGCCACAGGUUCGAAUCCUGUAGGGCGUACCA
rnacentral:tRNA from 1 species